rnacentral:lncRNA from 10 species
GUCAACAUCUUUCCCUGGCAUAUUAGAAACCGAAAUGAGAGGAAUAUGUUUCCCUUUGAAGAUGAUAUGAGGAUAUUUGGCUUAGGUACUCUCAAUAGGGAGGAAGCCAACAUAAAGCCAAUGGCAGAAACACAAAGUGGGUGCUGGCAAGUAGAAAGGUUCACAGAAAUGAUGCCAAAGAAACCAUCAUUCACCACUGGUGCAGUGCUCUAGAACAUGGGCAUUGGAGGUGGACAUGCCUGGGUUCAAACCCAAUCCUGCACCUUGGACACUACUUUUUUCUGGUUAUUUACAGACUAAAUGAGACAGUGUAUAUCUAACAUUGCUUUGUGGAUGCUAUCAAGUGCUGGCAAAUGUGUGGGAGAAUGAAUGGAAAACUUCAUCAAUUUCUAGGAUAGUAAAUUGGUGCUGCUAUUUUGGAGAGCAAUUUGUCAGCCUUCAGGGGAAACUGAAUAUGCACAUCCUCUAAGACCCAGCAGUUUCACUUCAAAGAAAAUUUCUUAUAUGCACAGAGACUUGUACAAGGAUAUUUAUCACAGCACUGUUUGUAAUAACAAAGGGCUGGAAAUAAACCAAAUGGCCAAUGAUAAGAAUUGAUAAAUGUGGUAAAUGCCUAAAAUAGAAUGUCACACAGCAGUUAAAAAAUCAUUUAUUCACUAAUUAAGCAAAGGACAAAAAGCCUCAACAGAAAAAAAAAGACAAAAGCCUUGAAUAGUCACUUUGCCAAAUGUUCAAUACACGUACAAAAACAUGGGCAAGUUCAUUGGUUGUCAAGGAAGUUCGAAUUAAAGCCACAUUUUGCAGGUACAACACUGGCACAAGUUUAAGUCUGAUGAUACCAAGUCUUGGAGAAGGUUGAAGCUACUGGAAAACCUGCCCUCUGCUGGUGGGAGUGCAAAUUGCUCCAAGCUCUUUGGACAAUAAUUUGGCAUCCUCUAGUGAAGUUGAAGAUGUGUGUGCUUGAGACUCAGCAAUUCCCCUUUGUGACAUCAGGAUGCUCCCGCACAUAUGCUUAAGAACAUUCAUGCCAGCUUUGUUUAUAUAACAAAAACGUGGAAAUAACCCAAAUGUCUGAGGAUGGGGAAUGGACAAAUAAUGGUUCAUAGUUAUGAAAAUGAAUACACAACAGCUACAAGCAUCUACUGGAAUGAAUCUCACAUGCAUUGUGUUGUAGAAGAAUAUGUAUAAUUCCAUUUAUGUAAAGUUUAAAAGCAUGCACAACUAAAUGAUAUGUUAUUUAUGAGUAUAUGACAUAUAUGAUAAAGGCAAAGAAUAAAUAAAGUAAGGAAAGGUAAGACAAUAAGAGUUUGUGAUACUGGUUACCUAUUAUGGGGAAGGAUGUUGGGGACAGGUGGGACACCUUGGGGAUUAUCUGAUACUGGCAAUCUGACAGGUGGUAGGUCACCAGGUGUUCUUAUUAACUUCAAUACUCUAUAUAUCCUAACACUGGUAAAUCUCAAGUAUGUAAUACUGAAUGAAAAAAAAUCAAAAGUCAAAUAGUACAGUCCUAUUUGUGAAGAAAAACUAACCCACGUGAAUAAAGUAUUGUUAGGGAUGCCUCUCUAUGUAAAUAAAGCCGUACAGGGCAGCUACAUGUUAAAUUCGUUGGCGUGUGCACAUACAGUGGAAUGAUAAUGGGAUUAGGGACUGAGUGAAGGGGAGGGCAGUACAUAACAUUUCAAAAUGGUAAACAUGAAAAUGGGGCUGUUUGUGAACUCCUGAUGCUUGUGUGCCAUGAACUGACUUGAGGUGGUUAAAUUAAGCAAUUCGCUCUCUUUCCAUGCAUGUGAUAUCCCAAAGGGAAAGAAAGGUUGCUUUGCAAAUUAGAAUAAUCAAAAUCAAGUAUGAACCAUUAAACAUGUUUUGCUUGCUGGUAGAUUAAGGAUCACACUGGAUAUACAGUAGAAAAUA